rnacentral:tRNA from 1 species
GUUUAGGUAGUUUAAAUUAGAACGUGGCGGUGAAGUUGCUAAGGUGAUUGUGUAUUCCUAGACA